CUCCAGGACCUGGGGAUACCGCAGAGGGCAGGACCAAGCCCCUGUCCCCAAGGAGUGCGAAGUCUAGGGGAGGAGAUGGAUGAGAAACCAACAGACAAGUCCAAACACAGCUGCAGGUGGUCACUGCUGCCAAGAACCGUGGGCAGGGGAAGGAUGCGGAAGGUUCUGCUGAACGCGGCAAUGCUCUGCUCCUUCCCUGCUCCUCAGGACUGGUGCCACCUUCCACAGGGCCGCCAUCAAAGUCACAAUCUCCAGGUGUCCUCAACUCCUCCCCUCUCCUCGAACCUAACCAGCCACUAGUGCUGUGGAUUUUACUUCCUAAACAGCUCUUCAAGUCUUUUUCUCUCUGUCCCCCAGACUCACCCCUCCCACGUCACAACAUCCUCUCCCACCAGACAACAGCAGUAGUCUCCUCCCUGGUCCCCUUGCCUCCGGUCUCACCUCACCUCCCCUCCCCUCCCGCCCACACAAAUGUGAUCAGGACCCUCCCCACCCCCAGUCUCCCUCGGAGAUGCUGCCUUCAGGUCCGGCCCCAGGUCCUUUGAAUGGAAUCCAAGGCCCUCCAAUCCCUAACCCCGCCCACAUCGGCUUCAGGCCUCGUGGACUCGCCUCUUCCAGGAGGCCUUCCCAGACUCCACAAGCUGGGUUUGGGGCCCCUGCUCUGGGGCUCGCAGAGUGUCUGAGAAUACCUCCUGGAUCUUAAAUGUGGAAGGAAUGGACGGAGCAGACAAGCCAGUGGCUUUCCUGUCCGAGUCUUUGCGCGUGCUGUUCCCUCCGCCUGGAAAGCUGUUGACCUACUCUUGGCAUGGCUGACUCCUUCAGUGUCAGCCUAAGAUCACGACCUGGGAGACUUCACCAUCCUCCCUGCCCAUCAGGUCAGAAGUGGAAUUCACACUCCUCUGUUAUUCUCUGUGUUACCCUGUUCCUUCCCUUAUCUUUCAAGGCGUGGAUCACAUUUUGUAAUUAGACAUUUAUUUAAACCUUCAUAAAAGCAGGGGCUGCCUCUUUCUUGUUCACUACUCCUUUCUCAGGUACCCAGCAGAGUGCCUGGCAUGUCUUAGGUUCUUCUGAAUGAAUGAAUGAGAGGUGACUGCUCGAGGGAGCCAGCCGUGAUGCCAGAGAUGGUGGACAAAGUGAAAAGGGCAUCCUCUUGUCAGGGCCCCCAGGGAAUGUGGGUGCUUAGUAUGGACUCUGACCUGGCUCCUGAGGCCCCCACCCCAAAUCCGGCCUCAGGCUCUGAGCAUCUGGCCCUGUAGGGCCAUGCUGUCCCCUCCAGCAGCCACUGGCCAAGUGUGGCGAAUCCCGCUUGAGAUGUGAGGCAAGUAUAAAAUGCAGACUGAAUUUCAAAGACCCAGUAUGAAGAAAAGAAUGUAACAUAGCUCAUUAAUAACUUUUUAUAUUGA
rnacentral:lncRNA from 1 species